rnacentral:piRNA from 1 species
UCCAAUGCCAUUCCCUGGAUAACACGUUU